GGCUGGGUGGCUCAGUGGUUUGAGAGCCAAGCCUAGAGGUGGGAGGUCCUAGGUUCGAAUCCAGCCUCAGCCA
rnacentral:tRNA from 1 species